UCUCUAAAACCUAAUUAGCUCCUGAACCAAUUUUUAUACCUAAUUAAAGUCCUAAGAACUAAUUAAGUAGCAUAUUAAUCUAAGAUUUAAUGCUUCUAAAUAAUCCUAAUUCUUCUAGUCAGCAUCUAACCAUCAAAGAUUAACAUGAGCUUAAAUAAACUACUGCUAUUAGGCCCUGAUAAAUGGGUAAUGGGGGGUGAAGGCCCGCUGAGGCGAUGUAUGAAGAGCAUCAACCAGAGCCCAAACUUCUGGAACCUCAAAAUACACAUGUGAGGAAGCGUACAGGUGAAGUCCAGGAAACAUGCACCCAACGCGUUUUUCGUAAAAGCUACACGGGCGAAUGAAGCGCUUGCAGUUGAAAAAGUGCUAAAAAAAAGCUCAACGCGAACAUCGCGUUCGUCAUCACCAUCACAUUCACAAACCAACAUCGCUGUUCGUGGACGCUUCACCAUCUCGGAUCGUUCAACAGUCUAACGCGAUUCGCGUCCAUCCACCAUCAACAAUUAAUGACUCAAACUCACGAAAUCACCAACAUCAGCUAUCCUAAUCUACGGAGCCGAAUCGCAACGACAUCACUAAAUUGCUUGAGCAUGACGAAAAAAGAAGAAGAACAUCUAACCGGCGAUGACGACGGGAUGACGGAUCGGUGAUGGCUACGAAUGGAUCUGCAGAGUUCGAAAGAAGAGCGUGGAGGACUACCGGCGGCGACGAAAGAAGCUUCGGCGGCGCGUUACUUGUUGAUGGUGUGCGAUUUCGCCAGAAAUGUUUGGUGCAUCACAGGAUUGUGAAGCUCUCUGUUGUGAGGUGGAGGUUAAGGUUUUGUGUGAAGAAGGGAAUGACGUUGAUGGAGCGGUUGAAGUGGAGUCGAUGAAGGUUUUGGUUAUGGAAGUUUAGCAGGUAACAAAGCUGGCUAGAGAAUGGUGAAUUUUGUUACGCGCUUGUUUAGUGAGGGAAAAAGGUUGUGGAAUCUGGAAGAGAGGAAGAGGAUUGAAGUGGUGAAGGUUGGUUCUUGAUGGUGAUUGUGAAGUUUGUUAGAGUUUGGAGGGAGGGAAGAAGAAGAAGAAUCUGGACGGAACGAGAGAGGUGAAGAUUGAUUUAUAGAGUGAUGGAGGUUAAAAGUUUGUUAGGAAGAAAAUUUUGUUAUUAGAUUUGUUAUUUUUUCUGUGAAAUUAUGCAGGAAUUCUGUUAUGCAGUGAAUUGGAUUUUAUGCAGGUUAAUUUGUGCAGCGAAUUUAUCAUUGAAAUGGCUUGCAUCCGGCUUAACUGGCUUGUGUUGUAGCUUGUUGCUGUAAUGGUUUUGGAUCACGUUACAACUUUGAUGUCGUGCGUUUCAGCUGGUUGAAGCUCGUACUGCGUUCUGCACUCUCCCAUGUUGCAGCAUCGUUUGGCCACAUAUUCACUGUAUUUUAUCUCAUGUGGAUAUUGUAAAUGGCUAAUAGUAUAUGGAUAUAUACAUGGGCUGAUAUUGUUAUUAUGAUAUAUGCCAUGAGCUUUAACAUGUAAAAAUGUGCUCAUGAUAUAUAAAUAUUAAUGGAAUGAAGUGUAUGAGAAUGUA